GCAGGUGGUGCGGAGAAGAAAGUUUAAAGAGGUGCGUGGAUAAGCUCCGUAUAUUUAUGCCCAUAAAAUUGUGGAAGAAAAUACAAUAAAUGUUUGGUAGAGGUUGUCUCUGAGUGGUAAUUAUGUUAUUUUUAUUUUUGUCUUAGAUUUUUCCACAAUGAACAUUUAUUUUCAUAAGAACAAAAAAAGACAAAAGUAAAAAUAACUAAUGCUUAUAUAACAUUUACUCUGCGCCAGGUGUUGCAAAAUGCUUUUGUUGUUGGCUGCAGCGUGCAGCGGCUUGAUGUGGGAUCUCAGUUCGCAGACCAGUAGCAGUGAAGCUCUGAGUCCUGACUGCUGUACCACCAGGGAACUCCCGAUAUAUUAACUGAUUUAAUUCUCACGCAGUCCUAGCAGAAAGUAUCAGUACUCUCAUCAUUUUAUAGAUGAAGAAAGUGAGGCACAGAAAGGUUCCCAAGGUCCCAGAGCCAGUUAAUUACAGAGCCAAGAUGAUAACUGAGACCAUGGCUCCAGAGUCCUUAGGAAAGUAGGUCUCACAGCUUAUCAGGAACUUUUCCUCUCUUUUCUCCUUGUGGAAAAACAGAUUCUUAAAGUUCCCUAAACACCACCUCCUACAUGAAGUCUUCCUGGUCUACCCAUCUUCCUUCAUAGCUGUUAGCUCCUUCCAUGUCAGUACUUCCUUUUUGCAACUGAGUUGCAGUUUGUGCCACACAAGUAGGUUAAGUUGAUUUUGUGUGUGUGUGUGCCAUUUUAACUAUUUUUAAGCAUGCAGUUCAUUGUCAUUAACUACAUUCACAAUGUUGCGCAACCAUCACUGCUGUAUGUUUCCAAAACUUUUUCAUGAGUGCAAGCAGAAACCCUGUUAACUAUUAAGCAAUAACUCCCCAUUCUUCUUUCUCCCCAUUCCUUGGUAACCCCUAACUUACUUUCCGUCUCUAUGGAUUUGCCUGUUCUAGAUAUUUCAUGUCAGCUGAAUUUUACAGUAUAUGUCCUUUUGUGUCUGGCUUAUACUUAGCAUAGUGUUUUCAAAGUUCAUCCAUGUUGUAUGUGUCAGAAAUUCAUUAUGGCUGAUUAAUGUUCUGUUGCAUGGAUAUACCACAUUUUGUUUAUCCAUUCAUCCGUCAAUAAACACUUGGGGAGUUCCCGUUGCAGCUCAGCGAUAAUGAACCCAACUAGUAUCCACGAGGAUCAGGGUUCAAUCCCUGGCCCCGCUCAGUGGGUUAAGGAUCUGGUGUUGCCGAGAGUUUCAGUAUAGGUUGAAGACGUGGCUCAGAGCCUGAGACAUGGGUCAGAUGCUGUGGCUGUGACCUGCAUCUGCAGCUCCAAUUCGACCCUUAGCCUGGGAACUUCCAUAUACUGCAGGUGCAGCCCUAAAAAGGAAAAAAAGACCAACAAGAAAAACCACUUGGGUUGUUUCUACCUUUUGGCUAAUGUAGAUAAUGCUGUAAAGAACACUGGCAUUUAGUGAUCUAUUUUGAGUUCCUCUUUUUUGUUUGUUUGUUUUUGUUUUUUGUCUUUUUGCCUUUUCUAUAGGGCUGUUCCCGCGGCAUAUGGAGGUUCCCAGGCUGGUGGCUACAGCUCCCACUCGAUCCCUAGCUUGGGAACCUCCAUAUGCCGCGGGAGCAGCCCAAGAAAUAGCAAAAAGACAAAAAAAAAAAAAAACCAAAAAAGACCUUGGUGCUGACUGUUGCUGCAGCCUAAAUGCAGCCCUCCUCUCAAUCCUCGACUGGCUCUUUCCCAUCCUCAGGUUUCAGUUCAAUUCUUUUAAUUUUUUAUCAAUUUGUUUCUUUUAUUUAUUUUUUGCUUUUUUGAGGGGCACCUGCAGCAUAUGGAAGUUUCCAGGCAAGGGGUCCAUUCGGAGCUGCAGCUGCUGGCCUACACCACAACAGCAGCAAUGCCAGAUCCUUAACCACUGAAAGAGGCCAGGGAUCGCACCCAAUCCUCAUGGAUAUCAGUUGGGUUCGUAACCCGCUGAGCCACAACGAGAACUCUCAGAUUUCAAUUCAAAUGACACCUCUGGGAGUUCUCUUAUGGUGCAGUGGGUUAGUUAAGGAUCCAGGGUUGUCAGUGCUGCCACUCGGAUCACUGAUGUGGCUUGGAUUCGAUCCCUGGCCCAAGAACUUCCACAUGCCCUGAGCACAGCCAAAACAAAGAAAUGCACUUCUUCAGUGAGUCCUUUCACCACCCUCUAAACCAGUAGCGCUGAUCCUACAGUCACUCUCUAUGUCAUCCCUCUUUUAUUUUCCUUGUAGCACUUAGCACUCUUUGAGAUAGUUUUCUUUACUUGGUGAACUUGUUCAGAGACUGUUUUACUAGAUAUGAGCUCCAGAAGUGUGCACGCCCUGUCUAUCCUGUUUGCUGCUCUGUGCAAACAGUAGUGCUUAGUACACAGUAGGCCUUCAGCAAUUACUAGAUAAAUGAGUGAAUGAAUGCCCGUAUGCAUUUUUUUUUUUUGUCUUUUCUUUUCUUUUUUUUUUGCUAUUUCUUGGGCCGCUCCCGCAGCAUAUGGAGGUUCCCAGGCUAGGGGUUGAAUCGGAGCUGUAGCCACCGGCCUACGCCAAAGCCACAGCAGCUCAGGAUCCGAGCCGCAUCUGCAACCUACACCACAGCUCACGGCAACGCUGGAUUGUUAACCCACUGAGCAAGGGCAGGGACCGAAUCCGAAACCUCAUGGUUCCUAGUCGGAUUCGUUAACCACUGCGCCACGACGGGAACUCCCCCGUAUGCAUUUUUGAAUCAUUUUCGGAUGUCUGUCAAGUCUGUAUGUUAAUGUGUGCUCAACUCAAAUAGGCCUUAUGUCAACUCUGGCUCCCUCCACUCUUCCCUGAGCUCUGGAGGGCAGGAACCAUGUCCAAUCCAUCAUUGCACCUUGGAGCAGUUCUGCAAGUGCACUGCCUACAGUGAAGGGCCAGAAUUUUAAAUUUCCAGUCCACUGCAGACUGGUACUUUUGAAAAAUACAGUAACAAUGUUAGGGAAAUGUCAGCUUGCUAGAAAACUUUUUGAAAGCUUAUUCUCGAUUUCUGUGCUUAUAGUGUCCUGAGCAGGUGAUGAACAGUUUACAGUUUGAGUCACACUGCCUUAGAGGUCCGCACAAUACAUGGUAGGUAGAUGUCAGUGUUUAGAACACUGACUUUUUCUUUCUUCCUCCCUCUCUUUCUUUUCUUCCUUCCCUUCCUUCCUUUCUUCUUUCACCACCCCACAACACAUGGAGUUCCCAAGCCAGGGAUCAGAUCUGAGCUGCAGUUGCAACCCAGGCCACAGCUUCGGCAAUGCAGGCUCCUUUAACCCACUGUGCCAGGGUGAGGAUCAAACCUGCAUUCCAGGGCUACAGAGAUGCUGCCCAUCCUGUUGCACCAUAGCAGGAACUCCUGCCUUGACCUCUUAGAAAACCAAGACAUCAUCUACAUGGGAUUAAAGACAAAGAAGGAGGGGAACAGGGGAACAGACUUCGUUUAUUGCAAAACAUCUAGUAAAUGCCAACUGUUAGAUUGAUGCUGUCCACUGGAAAUUUUUUUUUUUAAGGCCGCACCUGCUGCAUAUGAAGUUCCCAGGCUAGGGGCCCAAUCGGAGCUGUAGCUUCCGGCCUUUGCCACAGCCAUAGCAACUUGGGAUCUGAGCCACAAUGCAACUUACACCACAGCUCACGGCAACGCCAGAUCUUUAAUUCAUGGAGCAAGGCCGGGGAUCGAACCCACAUCCUCAUGGAUACUAGUCCAGUUCAUUACCGCUGAGCCACAACAGAACUCCUGCAACUUUUUGCGGCAAUGUAGAUGUUUUAUAACUGUGCUAUCCAAUAUGAUGGCCACUAGCCACAUGUGUCUGUUGAACACUUGUAAUGUGGCAAGUCAAGGAAUCAAAUUUUCUGUUUUUAUUUUAGUUAAUUUAAAUAGCCACAUAUAACUAUUAGCAAACACUUUUUUUUUUCUUUUUUGUAUGUACCUGCUGCAUGUGAAAGUUCCCAGACCAGGGAUCGAACCCACGUCACAGUUGCAGCCUUUGCCACAGCUAUGGCAAUGCCAGACCCUUAACCUACAAGGGAACUUCCUAAUGGCAAAUACUUUUGAUAGUGCAGUUAUAACAAGUUAUAUCUUUGAAAACAAAAUGCCUCCAUCUUUAGCACCUGAUAUCCAAUCAGUUUCCAAGAUGUGUCCGCUCUUCUGCCUAAAUGUUGGUCCAGUCAGACCUUUCUCCAUCCCCCAACUCAGUGGAUAGUAAUCCUGCUCAGAGUCAUGCAUCCUUGAUUUCUCCCUCUCCUUAAAUACUCCCUCUCCCUAAAUAUUCCCUCUGCAACCUCCAAUUUAUCACCACGUCCUCUCAGUAUUAUCUCUUAAGCACCUUACAGUCCCCUCUAAUUCUCCAUCUCUACCACCACCAUUACCUCUCACCUAGACAGUAGCCCCCAAACCAGCUUCCUUGCAUCAGGUCUUGCUCACCAUUCCCAGCCCCUAGUGCUCUUCGGAAAACCCUUGAGUGGCUCCCCAUUAUUUAUUAGGAUAAAGACAAACCUCUUCCUGAGCCUACAACCCCCUCCAUAGUCCUUGGUCUGGCCCUAUUCCUACUGCUGACUAGGUCAAACCCUUCCUUCCUUCCUUCCUUCUCACUCUCUUUCUCGCUUGCUUUCUUUCUUUUUUUUUUUUUUUUUUUCAUUUUUUCAUAGAAGGCUGUCUUGAUCAAUGCAGUUCUUCUUUGAGCAUCAGGCAUAGUUUCUUUCUUUUUUUUUUUAGUUUUUAGGGCCGUACCUGUGGCAUAUGGAGGUUCCCAGGCUAGGGGUCAAAUCGGAGCUAGAGCUGCUGGCCUACAUCUCAGCCACAGCAAAGGCAGAACGGAACCGCAUCUGCAACCUACACCACAACUCACAGCAACGCUGGAUCCUUAACCCACUGAGCAAGGCCAGGGAUCAAACCUGCAACCUCAUGGUUAUUAGUUGGAUUCGUUUCUGCUGCACCAUGAUGGGAACUCCAGGCACAGUUUCAACUUUACUUUCAUUUGUAUUGAGUUGAUUAAUGGUCUUCCACACUCCCCCAACUAGACUACCAGCUCUGUGAGGACCAAGAAUGGGCUGGUUUUGCUCAACAUUUUAUUCCCCUGCCUCACACCUGGUGAUGAUGUUCAAUAAAUAUUUGUUAUAACGGCAGUUUAGGGAGUUCCCUGGUGGCUCAGCAGGUUAAGCCAGCAUUGUCACUGCUGUAGCUCUGGUUACUGCUGUGGUGAAGAUUUGAUCCCUGGUCCAGAAAGCUCUGCAUGCCAAGGGCGUGGCCAAAAAAAAAAAAAAAAAAAAA
rnacentral:lncRNA from 1 species